CCUACGGGAGGCAGCAGUGGGGAAUAUUGGUCAAUGGGCGCAAGCCUGACCCAGCAACGCCGCGUGAAGGAAGAAGGCUUUCGGGUUGUAAACUUCUUUUUUCAGGGAAGAGUAGAAGACGGUACCUGACGAAUAAGCCACAGCUAACUACGUGCCAGCAGCCGCGGUCAUACGUAGGUGGCAAGCGUUGUCCGGAUUUACUGGGUGUACAGGGCGUGUAGGCGGGUUGACAAGUCAGAUGUGAAAUCCUGCGGCUUAACCGCAGAACUGCAUUUGAAACUGUUGAUCUUGAGUACUGGAGAGGUAGAUGGAAUUCCUAGUGUAGCGGUGAAAUGCGUAGAUAUUAGGAGGAACACCAGUGGCGAAGGCGGUCUGCUGGACAGCAACUGACGGUGAGGCGCGAAAGCGUGGGGAGCAAACAGGAUUAGAUACCCGUGUAGUC
rnacentral:rRNA from 1 species